GACGAACGCUGGCGGCGUGCUUAACACAUGCAAGUCGAACGGAAAGGCCUCUUUCGGGGGGUACUCGAGUGGCGAACGGGUGAGUAACACGUGAGUAACCUGCCCUUGACUUUGGGAUAACUUCAGGAAACUGGGGCUAAUACCGGAUAGGAGCUCCUGCUGCAUGGUGGGGGUUGGAAAGUUUCGGCGGUUGGGGAUGGACUCGCGGCUUAUCAGCUUGUUGGUGGGGUAGUGGCUUACCAAGGCUUUGACGGGUAGCCGGCCUGAGAGGGUGACCGGCCACAUUGGGACUGAGAUACGGCCCAGACUCCUACGGGGGGCAGCAGUGGGGAAUAUUGCACAAUGGGUGGAAGCCUGAUGCAGCAACGCCGGGUGCGGGAUGACGGGCUUCGGGUUGUAAACCGCUUUCGCUCAUGACGAAGCUUUGUGUGACGGUAGUGGGUAAAGAAGCACCGGCUAACUACGUG
rnacentral:rRNA from 1 species